rnacentral:rRNA from 1 species
UACGUAGGGGGCUAGCGUUGUCCGGAAUCAUUGGGCGUAAAGAGCGUGUAGGCGGCCAGGUAGGUCCGCUGUGAAAACUCGAGGCUCAACCUCGAGAUGUCGGCGGAAACCAUCUGGCUAGAGUCCGGAAGAGGAGAGUGGAAUUCCUGGUGUAGCGGUGAAAUGCGCAGAUAUCAGGAAGAACACCCGUGGCGAAGGCGGCAUCCUGGACCGACACUGACACUGAGGAGCGAAAGCCAGGGGAGCAAACGGG